rnacentral:rRNA from 1 species
CGGCCUAUCAGGUAGUAGGUGGGGUAACGGCCCACCUAGCCUACGACGGGUACGGGCCCUGAGAGGGGGAGCCCGGAGAUGGGCACUGUGACAAGGGUCUAGGCCCUAAGGGGCGCAGCAGGCGCGAAGAUUCCGCAAUGCCCGAAAGGGCGACGGAGUGAACCCGAGUGCCACCCGCUGAGGGUGGCUGUUCCCCUGUGUAAAAAGCAGGGGGCAGGAAGGGGAGGGCAAGGCUGGUGGCAGCCGCCGCGGUAAAACCAGCUCCCCGAGGGGUUCCCACGCAUACUGGGCCUAAAGCGUCCGUAGCCGGCCCUGUAAGUCCGCAGUUAAAUCCGCCUGUAGACAGGCGGGCUGCUGCGGAUACUACAGGGCUAGGGAGCGGGAGGAGCCGGGGGUAUUCCCGGGGGAGCGGUAAAAUGCGUAGAUCCCGGGAGGACCACCAGUGGCGAAGGCGCCCGGCUUGAACGCGUCCGACGGUGAGGGACGAAAGCUGGGGGAGCAAACCGGACUAGAUACCCGGGUAGUCCCAGCCGUAAACGAUGCCGGCUAGGUGCUGGCCAAGGUUUCGACCUUGGCCAGUGUCGAAGCGAAGGCAUUAAGCCGGCCGCCUGAGGAGUACGGCCGCAAGGCUGAAACUUGAAGGAAUUGACGGGGGGGCACCACAAGGGGUGAAUGCCUGCGGCUUAAUUGGACUCAACGCCGGGAAUCUUACCGGGGGCGACAGCAGGAUGAAGGUCAGGCUGAAGACCUUACCAGACGCGCUGAGGGGUGGUGCAUGGCCGUCGCCAGCUCGUGCCGUGAGGUGUCCUGUUAAGUCAGGCAACGAGCGAGACCCCCGCCCCUAGUUGCCAGCGGCCUCCUUCGGGAGGGACCGGGCAAACUAGGGGGACCGCCUCCGAAGAGGAGGAGGAAGGUGGGGGCUACGGCAGGUCAGUAUGCCCCUAAUCCCCCGGGCCGCACGCGGGCU